UACGGAGGGUGCAAGCGUUAUCCGGAUUCACUGGGUUUAAAGGGUGCGUAGGCGGACUGUUAAGUCAGUGGUGAAAUCUCAGAGCUUAACUCUGAACUGCCAAGCUUGAUAGGACUAGUCAGUCUUGAAUGUUCUGGAGGUGAGCGGAAUAUGUCAUGUAGCGGUGAAAUGCUUAGAUAUGACAUAGAACACCAAUUGCGUAGGCAGCUCACUAACGGAAAUAUUGACGCUGAGGCACGAAAGCGUGAGGAUCAAACAGG
rnacentral:rRNA from 1 species